GCAAGACGUAAAUCUUCUGUUGGGAAUGGAAAUAGCAGGAAAAAUUUUGAAGUUGAUACUGAUGUCACUGAGAGAGGACAAAAAUCUGUUUUAAUGAAUAGUAAUGGUAAUGGUGGGAGUAUGGGAAUGAAAGCAGAUAAACAUGACCUAUGUGGCAAUAAUCCUAUGAAUAACAAGUUCACUGCAGGAAGAGGGUCUGGUCAUGAUGAAGUGGAUAAUUCAGUCAACUGCUCCUCUGAGGUCAAAAGGGCCAAAAGAAAGUCAG
rnacentral:misc_RNA from 1 species